rnacentral:lncRNA from 1 species
UCCCUUCCUCCCUUCCUCCCUUCCUCCCUUCCUCCCUUCCUCCCUUCCUCCCUUCCUCCCUUCCUCCCUUCCUUCCUUCCUCCCCCCCCUCCCUUCCUCCCUUCCUUCCUUCCUUCCUUCCUCCCUUCCUCCCUUCCUCCCUUCCUUCCUUCCUCCCCCCCCUCCCUUCCUCCCUUCCUCCCCCCUCACCCCCUCUCUCCCUGCCUUCCCUCUUUCCUUCCCUCCUCCCUUCCUUCCUCUCUUCCUCUUCCAUCCUUCCUCCCUCCCUCUCUUCUUUCCUCCCUUCCUUCAUUCUUCCCUCCCCUUCUUCCAUUUGUUUUAGUUCCUUCCAUUCAGAGAGCAUUGUCUUAUGACAUUACAGAGGACUUUUGCUUCUUCCUGGGAAACUGAGUUCCACAUUUGCAAGGAGGGGGCUGUGGGCAGCAGAAAGGGAAUACUUUUCAUUUGCUCCUACUGAAACUGUCUUAUGAAUCCCAAAAGUUUUAAGCUAGAUGUCAAUCAAAAGGCAGCAGCUUUAUGCCACUUACAUGCCUUCUGAAAGAGAUCUAUGUUUCUUAUAGUGGGGAAACAAACAAACAAACAACUGCCUGAAAUAGAUUUGGGAAUUUUGAAAUGCUGAAUUUAAUAUGUGAAGUCUGUACUGUUUGUUAGCAUUCAGAAUAAAGCGGUCUGAAAUGUCCUGCUGUCACAGCACAAAAUCAAGAGCACCUCUUCAUCUUCCCUCGGGCCAACAAAAGGGGACAGGAUUUUCAGUGAAACCCAGAUGUUGCUGUGAGUAAAUGUGUGCAUUUAUUAACAGAUAAUAGUGGAGGACUGCAAUUUAUAUCUGCAGAAGCUGAAAUAAUUAAGGAGGGUUGGGUAUUAAUGGAUGUAUGUUUUGAACAAUCUCAAAAACUUCUUUGUGUGGAAAAUUAAGAUCCUUGCUGAUAUUGAAAUAUCUCAGAUUGUUGUAAACCCAUGUUUCUAAUAUUUUAACUGGGAAUCACUUUCAUGGUCCGGCACUGCUGAUGCUGCCCCUUCAGAAGCCAGAAAAUGUCAGAUAUCUCAGUAUUUUCAGGAUUGUUUUGUUCCCAUUCAGGCUGACAGACAAAAAGGAGGGUUCUGAGGGAAGCUCUUAUUUCCUCCCUUCCCAUCUCCCUUUGCUCUUGCAAUAGCACCAUUGUACAGCACCGUUAUGCCAAAUUUUUUACAUAGAGACAGACUCGCCUGUCCCACAUUGUCAUUUCGACACUGUUUUUAACAAAGAUGUAUUUUCUGAGGAUCAUGUUUGAGAAUAAAUGGCUUUGGGUCUAGCACUAGUAAAAGAAGAAAAGCAAAUCCAAAGAACCCACUCAUUGAGUUCAGAGUAGCUACAGGGCAAUGCUGCAUCUUGCUUUUUAGGUGAAAUCUGCAAUUUUGUUUAUCCAGAGCAAUCUGUAACAGCUCUAUGGUAAAGCUGCUUUGAGGUUUAGUUUUGAAGUUUACUGCUCCCAGUUUUCAUUUAUUCCAUCAUAAUACAUGCAUAAAACAUUUUUAUUAUGUGGAUAGUAAUUUGCAUGAGCACGAGGACUUUAGCUCAAAUGCUCAUGAACAAGACUGUUCUUCAGUCGGGUCAACUGGAAGUUAUUCUGCUUUACUACAGGGCUUUCAGUUAAUUAAAUUCAAAGAACCUGUUCAACUGCUAAGGCCUGUUAUACUCCAGAUAAGGAAAAAAAUACAUUUUUUCAUCAGUCUCUGGGGACAGACACUGCUGAUGCUCCUCCUGCUGUAGCCACAAUACAGUGGGCCACAAUACAAGUGAAAAGGAGGAAGAAUGUCCUGCCCAAAGUAUUUCAGUGGGACAUACACGUCUGUGAUGAACACAGAAAGGACUAUUCAGAUGCAUUGUGUUAUAUGGAAUGAACUACAUUUCUGAUCUUCUAAUGCAAUUAAUAUUGUGCUCUGCAAGUAAUGUAAUUAACACAGGAAAAGAGGAGUGAACUGCAUUUACAGUAGAAGUGAACUUUACCUAAAAUUAUCAUUUCAGAAAAUUGACUGUUCUUCUAACUGUUGGUAAUUAUUUUUUCCUUUUUUUUCUUGAGUUCCUCUUUAUUUGGAUAGGUAAUAAAAUUAGUUUUGAUCCUGCACACUGAAGGAGAAACCCUAGUGGCCACAUUCUGACUCUACUUGAACUAGUGUAGGAGCUCAUACGGAAAAUUAAGUGAAAAUCAAUUAACAGUUGCCCCGGGCAUUUGAAACAAAUGCCAGGAAUCCCUAAAUGUUUCUCAGUUCUGUAUAAAUCAUAGCUGACAAGUGGUGGUAUCUCUGCUUCCACUGAAAAUUUGCUUUGUUACAGUGAAAAUUCUUUUAUUAUAUAUAGUUGCUGAUGUACAUAUAUAUAUGUAUUAACCGUCUACAUUUUCUCAUGUGCAUCUUCCAUAAAUCUCCUUUUGAGUCUCUUCCAAAGAAACUAACCUAUGCUUUUGAAGAAAAGAUGACUACCUGGUUGAAGAAAAGGAGUAAUGGAGAACACAUUCUUCAAGAUAUUGGAUAGUAUUCACUGCACCAUCAGGAGAUAUCUUUGUUUGGUACAAAGUGCUAAAGCCUUAAAAGACUAAAGCCGAACAAUAAUGAAUAGAACUGAUUUCCCAUCUUUGGAUUCUAGAGUGCUGACAUGGGAGUUUGAAGACGGUGGAAGGAAUCUAUGGACUGUAUUUACUGAUGUAAUUCAAUAAUUAAAGAUAAUUGUACAAUUUCUCUUAAGCUUGUUGAAAUUCAAGUUUUCUUUUGCUUUAGGCACGACCCAAAAAAUGUAAUAAUAUUUACCAUACUACCUAAUUUAUGUAUGUCUUUAAAUAGUUUACAAAGUGAAUUGAUAAUACAAAAAGUACCCAAAAUCAGAGAGAGAAUUUGUACAGAUUUAUACAAAUCCACGAACUUGAAAAGCCUGCCUUUGUCUCAGAACUUCUAUCUUUGUUUCAAAGAGAGAAACUGGUACAUUACGUAGAUAGGAGAAAAGGAACUGAAGGGUAUAGAUAAAGGAGAAAUGAGCUUAAAGCCUAAGGAAGAGGAAAAAAAUAUAUAAUACAAUCGGAGUGAUCAGAGAUAAAGAACAAGAAAAAAUCAUCAAGAGAUUUUUCUUGAAAGAGGAGGUAGAAUGGAGAUGUAUUUUGUAGGCUACUCUGUUGGAUUAAAGAAGGCCUGAAAUGAAAAGGUAUGUGCAACAAAGGCGUGAGGCAGAUGGAAGGCUUCUCUUCUUAUUUCCUAAGGCUGAGGGCUUCCAGUCCUUUUUGCAUUUGGCUAAUUGCAAAGUCUGCAAUCUCAAAGGGUCACAAUCAUUUUCAGCUUUUGCUGGUGAGAGACACAAAGCAGACAACACUGCACGUUGCUCCUGCUAUAAUAAGAUGUCAUUUCAUCAGGAGGAGUAGACAAAAGGAUAGAUUUUCCUCUUUCCUCUUUUCCUCUGUUUUGCUUUGGGAUAUAACAUUCAGUUUCUCUCUCCAGUUUCCUACAACAUCACAAGGCCAGUUUUUGCUUUGAACUUCAGUAAUAUCAAGUACCUUCCAUGUAAAUGGUGCUUGAGAUAUAAGCGUAUUGCAUGGCCUCUGAGAAACCAAGACCACAUGGAAACUGUUCCCCCCCAAUUUCUGCCAAUAACAUCAGAUUUUGCAUUGCUUCCCCAACAAGAACUGCCCUGUAUCAGAGGCUAGCUUUGUGCAGGGGCUGAUGGUUCUGUAUAGUUUGUGUUUGUGAGCCAUCAAAGGCUUUGAGUGGGAGAGAGGAAACGAUGAAGGAAACCUGGAAUCUGUGCCCAUACUGUUGCAACCUUUCUGAGUUUACUUUAAGAAUCUUUAUCCAGCUCUUCAUCUUUUCACUUUGAUCACUGUAACAUCUCUUCACCUUGGUUUCUAGCUUUUUCCUUUCCCCACACCAUCAAUCUGCACAGAUGCUGCUUUUUCCAGUCAGAGCCUCUUUUGGCAUUUUUGCACUUUACCUCCAUCUUAUUUCUGAACUUCUGUUUCUCUUGUUGUCCCUCGGUGACUGUGUUUUUGCAUGCUGUAGAGAUACUCAAUGCUUUUUUUUUCUGUGCCAUGUCCUCAUUCUAUUCUAUGACCUCUUUUGUGCUGCCUGUACUCCAGGAGUGCUGAGACAAACAGGCUGGGACAGAACACAUCUCUGUGCUCUUCCUGGGAGCACAUUUUAUUCCAGAAAAUUUGUUCUGCUGGUCUCACCUAUAUUUCUUCAAUUGUUUAAUAUUAAGCACUUAUCCAGCAGCGUGAAUUACAAUUAUCAUGAAUUAUACAACAUGGCAGUUUCUGCCCUGCUUUGCUCUCAUUUACAUAACUGCUAGACUGUAAUCACAUUUUGUCUUCCAGACAGAAAUCUUCCAGACUUCUCCCAGGUUUAAUUGGAGGUGCUUUGUAAACCUUUGAUGGUUAAGGACACCAGAUUUUGGAGUGAAAUGCUGGUAUCCCAGAAGCUUGAAAGCACAAAAGAAACAGCUUGUGGAAAAUCUGUGAAGUCCAUCUAUUUCUACAAUAGGAUUAUUCAUCACCACAUGUUUUCCCCAUCUGGAAGUAAAGGGACAAAAUGCUGAAACCACCACCGUCUCACUUGCAAAUUGCUCCACAGUCUAACCAGUCAUGCUAUUGAGAAGAUAUGCCUGCAGUUCAACCCAAAUUCUCUGUUGCUGUGUUUUGCACAUGUUCAACAAACUCAGCUUCCUUCUUGCGGUGAGGAGUACUCAAGAUGUGGUCUUAUCAGUGUCAAGCAUUGAGGGACAAGCAGAACAAUUCAAAGGCUAUGACUAUCCUUGAGACCUUGUAGCACCUGCACCUACAGAAACUGUCCACAGAGGCCUUACCGGACCAUGUUUUAUUGUCAUUGUUUCUGGGCAAAGGUUUUAUAAUGCAGCAGUGGAGUCCAUCUUGCUGAAGCAAUGGAGACAGAUAGUGAUGGAGCUGCCAGAACAACCUGUAAAUUAUCUGCCCUAAAAUCCUCAAAGAGCACUUUGUGCUGAAAAGAAGGCUGUUCAAGGCAGGAGGGGAAGAAUUUGAUCUUGCCUACAUUUGUUGUACAGGAACAGAAAGGAGGAGUGCUUUAUUCAUCAAGUGAACACAGCACUUUAAAAAUUCAACUAAGUCAAUAUAGGAAUACGUUUAAAAUGUAUUCACCUUCAGAGAGAGAUUUCCUGGACUGACAGAACUGCCAAUGGGUAUGAGUUAUUGCUUAGCAAAAGUUGCUGCAAAGGAUGCUGUACCCAUCACCUCUGUGAAGGGGUCUUAUGUGGAACAAGCUGCUAAGAAAGUUAUGGCCAACAGAAGUUCUGCCUUUGACUGGUGCUUUGGUAACUACCUGUGGGGAUAGUCUGCUGUUAUUCUAUUUUUCUUCCUUCUUUGUCAGAGAAAAUGGCAGUCUGGUGACAGUGUUCUUGAGAAUAGCAACUUCAUUCUACCAGGUUCUGCUGGUAGAGUAGAAGUGGAAAGUCCUGCCUGAGAAUGUGCAUUGUAGAAUCACUGCUCCCAAAGCUGGCAGCUCUGCCAAAACCCAGAACAUGAGUGCUUUGGGGAUGCCCUGGUAGAAACUUAGGUCAGUGCUGGCCUUGGGCCAUCCAGAGUAAGAUGUGAACUGCCUGGACUACGGCAUUACUGGGCAGAAAGAGUGUCUGAUCCCUUCAUGAUUUCAACUUCAGAUUUGCACACCUUAUAUUUACCUCUGAGUACUUUGUAGCACAGUUUGAUAUUUAUGCUUUGACUUUAAUUCAGAAAGAAUCUGGAGAGGAAUAAGAGAGAGGCUAAAAAUGUGCAAGACAAAAAAUACAUGUGUGAUUUCUGAAAUCUGACAGUGUUUAGGAGGGGAAAUAGAAGCUACACUGUUGAUUAUUUUACUUUAUUCUCCCAAUUGAAUGUGAUUUUUUUUGUUUUGUUAUUUUUUAUUUUUCUUUCUAUGCUAUGUAUGGAUGAUACCAGGCCAGUUCCUACCCAAAGGCUUGCUUAAGUGCUUUCAAUCUUACUUGCUUACCUUGCAUCUACAGUAACAAGGAUUCAGUUGUGAGUAAGCCUCAGCAUGUUACUUUAGUUCAAAUGAUUUCUAACUGGAAUAUCAGUGAAUCUUUACCUUCAGGUCAUCCGUGCUCUUUUGUAAGAAUGAAUUUCAGUAGCUUAAAAAUGCUCAGAGUUUGUGAAUGACAAUGAUAACUCACUGCUAUGAAACUUCCUGUAAGUGUGCACCCAUCUCCCUAAAUAAGUAGAAAUGGGUUUCAAAUAACAGGCUCUUCUGUUUAUAAGAGUGGUAAUUAGAAGUGCAUUAAGGAAACCCUCAUUUCAGAAGCAGGCGUAUUAUAUCUAUGAAGUUUCCUGCUUUUUUCCUUUUCUAUAUAUGUUUGAGGCUCCUGAUUGUCUAAUGAGAUUAGGGUAAAUUUGAAAUUAAUUGUAUCUUGUAUAUGUUUUUGAAAUAACAGGCAUAAAGCUACAUUAACUUGUUUCCAUUUGUGAAAGCAGCCUGUUUUCCUUGGUACGUAAGUAACUUCAUGGUUACUAAAGUCUUACUUAUACCCUUUGAAUUGUAUGAGCAAACCUUUCUCUAUUUUAUGUGUUCAUGAAGAUAUUGAAGAAAUAUCAGCAGCUUUGUAUGCAAGUAGAUGAGUGAAGUUGGCAUUUAAACUCUUGAAAAUUACAUAACAGCUACUAGUGUUAAGAAAUUAUAGAUAUGAUGAAGGAAGAGCUGUGAAUUUACAUUUAGAAAUUAACCCAGCUGGGUUUUGUGUGUGAGUGAAAGGUGAAGGAGAGAUAUUUUUAAAAGCUAUUAUUGUGCAUCAGCAAGGUGUGUGUCAUUAACUAAUUAUUUUGAGAAUGCCUUACUAAGACAGUGGUGGUAAUUAGUCUUUAGAUUUGUAGAAGGAAUGUGAUAUUCCUUUUAAUUGGGAAAGUUUUCCUGCCUCUGGGCACGCGCCCUGAAGUGGAGAGGGGGGGAGAGUAGAGGAGAAGGGAAAGUAGGAGGGGAGUGGAGGGAAGAGGUGAGGAAGGAAGGAGACUCAGUGGACUUUAAGAAUUGUCCAUCCUUUUCCAAAAUAGUCAGCAGUGCUACUGAAAAGCCUUCCUUCUGAAUGAUAUUAUCCUAUCCUAACAUUACUUUGAAGUUUUCUACCCCUAGAUGAAUUCUACAUUCAUUAAUGUCAGCAAGCCUUUUUUUUUUUCUGGACUAUUGAGGCCAUCUUUCCUGCAAAUGACCUUAACAGCUGCAAAGAGAAAAGAUAUGAUAACAUUACAUUAAAACACACACUAUGGUAGUUCUCUGAAAAUUUGGAGAUUUUGUUAGGUUUCUGGCUGAGUUUAUGAAUUUACUGUAUGCAAAGCUGCAAUGGAUUUUUCAGUUCCCUCCACUAGUUCCCCCAAGCCUCAGGUUAUGAGAGAAGAGCCAAAAAUGCAGGGCAAUGUUAAUUAUAGGAUAGCCAGAGGCAUUAUGUUCCCUCUUCCAAGCUGUUCUCAACAGUGACUUAUUGCCUCACUUCAGAGAACAAAUUAAGAUGCUCUGCAAUGAUGGAUCCCAAAAACUUGUUUGUCCUGAGAACCAAGGAAGAGAAAAAGGUGUGGCAAUCAGUGAAUGCACCAGAACACGUGAAGCUAGGGGGAUGUGAAAAUAUAAUGCUGAAAUACCCAGUCUAUCUUUCCUUCUCUGCCCUAACCUACAGGAGAAAUAAAAUCAGUUAUAUGUUUUGACUUUCUGUGAAAUAGAGGGAGCAUUAGACCUUCUGCAUUCAAGGGGGGAACCAUGGACAUAAGAAUAGCUGUUUAUCUUCAUUUGUGGUCUUGGAGAUGAAUAAGGAAUGAGUGACGAUGUGUAUUCACUACUGAGUACAUAACACAACUGUUCGAGAGAAGAUGCAGGUUUCCAAAAUCUACCAGCUGCCAUGCACUGGGCUAGUUUGGCAACGUCCAUCUUACCACUCGUGAAAGUAGGCCUUCGCAUAUUUGUGUAAUUCAGCAAAGGAUGUGGUCAAAUUAUUGCCUUUGUCUCUUUUUAUUCUGAAUUACCUCAAGAACUAAGGUCAAAUAAGGAAAAACUAUCCCACAGCAAAAGAGAGAAGAAGCAAAGACAUGCUGGUUAGCUUCUCACUGUCUGCUAAACUGCAUGAAGUCUACUUGAAAUCUCUGAUCUACACUAACAUACCAACUUAAAAAAAAUCCACAAAUGCUAUACCCUGCAACUAGAUAAGUAGGCAGCUGGGUUAAACUUGUAGAUAGUGAGUCAGGCUCCUCAGAUUCUGGGGAAGACUGAAGAUGAGAGGAAGCAGAGUAACUGCUGGCCCUUUGGUAUGGAACACAGGCAAAGUCAGGGGACAACAAUGGCAAAAGUUCCCUGGUCUAUGGGGUAUUUGGGACGUGAAUCCCCUUCCUGAGGGUGAAAGUGGUGCCUGAAAGAGUCAUGUACAGAGGUCAGUGCGUUAGGCUGGUGAGUGUCCAGGAGGAAACACUCCUGGAGGACAGCAAUACAAUAAGUUUAAGAAAAAAAAAAGGCCAGAACAUAAAUUCUUGCCACCCUUUAAAAUUUAACAAUAUUAAGCAUAAUCAUUUGGCAGUUCACUUAAUCUCAGUGGCAAAAAUAACUGGUUAUACGUUAUUAUUGAAGAUUAAAAUCUUAAAUCUUCCAUCAAGGCGGGGAGGGAGCAGGAGGUGCUAGAUAUGACUUUUGUCAUAUCAGGACCCUAAUGAAUUCUGCAAAAAAAGAAUUCUUAUGAAAUAUCCUUUCCAUUCAGCUAUUAUCUUUGGCUGUAGCAAUUACUCAUUUGCUCUAAACUGAAAUCCAACAACAUGAAGCACAGCUAUUCUCUUUCAAACUAAAAUCAGUAUUGGCAGGAUGACUGAAACUAUUUGCUUCCAUUAAAGGCAAAAUAUGUCCUAAGUGGUCACAAGUGUGCCAUAUUCCUCAGCUGUCAGUGCCUAAUUUGAAAUAUUUAAUUUAAAACAUUUUUAAAGCAGGCUGGUUGUCUCUGUUGCUCUGAGCUUACAUCUCCUACAUUCUAUUUCCAAUACCUGCCCCCAGAUCCAUUGGCUGCUUCUGAUGUGCUAAUGCAUUUAGAAAUGUGACUUUCCUCAUCUAUGCUAGACAAAAAGUCUAAUGCAAGAUCAUGUUGGUGAGUUCAUUCUAGAACACCAUCUUCUCUGGCCUUUUGUUAUGGGAGAAGCAACAGGAAGGAAACUGAGCUCCAACUACUGCUCCAGUAUGGUCAGCAAGAUGCACAGGAGGGAAAUUCUGUACCCAGCUUGUGGAAGGUGGAGGACUCUGCCCUUGCCCUUGUUGAACUUCAUCAGGUUUCUCUCCUCCCAGCUCUCCAGUCUGUCCAGAUCUUGCAGAAGGGCAGAGCAUCCUUCUGGUGUGUCAGCCAUUCCUCCCAGCUUUGUAUCAGUUUCACACUGAUAAAAGGGUCAAUGUACACUGGCUAUUCUUAGCCACUUUUUUCAUAAUUUGCAUUUAAAAAGCUAUCACAUGUCUUUUAAUUCCCUUGUUAUACACCUGUAAAUUCUCACUGUAUGUUUUGCUGAUAUUUAUCACCAAUGAAAGUUCA